UUUUCCUACGGGGGGCAGCGGUGGGGAAUAUUGCACAAUGGGGGAAACCCUGAUGCAGCGACGCCGCGUGAAGGAAGAAGUAUCUCGGUAUGUAAACUUCUAUCGGCAGGGAAGAAAACGGACGGUACCUGACUAAGAAGCCCCGGCUAACUACGUGCCAGCAGCCGCGGUAAUACGUAGGGGGCGAGCGUUAUCCGGAUUUACUGGGUGUAAAGGGAGCGUAGACGGCUGGGCAAGCCUGAUGUGAAAGGCGGGGGCGCAACCCUCGGACUGCAUUGGGAACUGUCCGGCUAGAGCGCCGGAGG
rnacentral:rRNA from 1 species